rnacentral:lncRNA from 1 species
AAAUAGAACUACGUGGCUACAUUAAUCAAAACAGCUUAGUGCUGGUACAAAAAGAGACACAGAAAAAUGGAACAGAAUAGGGCACUGAGAAAUAAUGCUGGAGACCUACAACCAUCUGAUCUUCAACAACCCUGACGAAUACAAGCAAUGGGGAAAGUACUCCCUAUUUAAUAGAUAAUGCUGGGAGAACUGGCUAGCCAUAUGCAGAAAAUGGAAACCGAACCCCUUCCUUACACCUUAUACAAAAAUGAACUCAAGAUGGAUUACAGACUUAAAUGUAAAACCCCAAACUAUAAAAACCCUAGAAGAAAAUCUAGGCAAUACCAUUUAGGAUAUAGACAUGGGUAGAGAUUUCAUGACGAGAAUGCCCAAAGCAUUUGCAACAAAAAAAUUGACAAAUGUGAUCUAAUUAAACUAAAACCUAAUAUUGACAAAUGACAAGAGACAAAAUUAAAUUAAAAGCAAAAAUUGACAAAAGCAAAAAUUGACAAAUUAAACUAAAGCAAAAAUUGACAAAUGCGAUCUAAUUAAACCAAAGAGCCUCUGCACAGCAGAAGAAACUAUCUCAGCAUGAACAGACAACAUUAAGAAUGAGAGAAAAUUUUUGCAAUUUAUUCUUCUGACAAGGGUCUAAUGUCCAGAGUCUCUAAGGAACUUAAACAAAUUUAGAGCAAAAAAUAAACAACCCCAUUAAAAGGCUGGCAAAGGACAUGAAUAGACACUUCUUAAAAAAAGACAUACAUGAUGCCAAUAAUCAUACGAAAAAAAGCUCACCAUUACUAAUCAUUGGAGAAAUGCAAACCAAAAACACAAUGAGAUACCAUCUCACACCAGUGAGAAUGGCGAUUAUUAAAAAGUCAGAAAACAAUAAGCUAGGCAUGGUGACUCACACCUGUAAUCCCAGCACUUUGGGAAGCCAAGAUAAGUGGAUCACUUGAGAUCAAGAGUUCAAGACUAGCCUGUCCAAUAUGGUGAAACCUCAUCUCUACUCAAAAUGCAAAAAUUAGCCAGAGGUGGUGGUGGAUGCCUGAAAUCCCAGUUCCUUGAGGGACUGAGGCACAAGAAUCGCUUGAACCUGGAAGGCGGAGGCUGCAGUGAGCUGAGAUCGUGCCACUGCACUCCAGCCUGGGUGACAGAACAAUAUCCCUUCUCAGAUUAAAAAAAAAAAAA